CCUACGGGUUGCACCAGUGGGGAAUAUUGCACAAUGGGCGCAAGCCUGAUGCAGCCAUGCCGCGUGUAUGAAGAAGGCCUUCGGGUUGUAAAGUACUUUCAGCGGGGAGGAAGGUGUUGUGGUUAAUAACCGCAGCAAUUGACGUUACCCGCAGAAGAAGCACCGGCUAACUCCGUGCCAGCAGCCGCGGUAAUACGGAGGGUGCAAGCGUUAAUCGGAAUUACUGGGCGUAAAGCGCACGCAGGCGGUCUGUCAAGUCGGAUGUGAAAUCCCCGGGCUCAACCUGGGAACUGCAUUCGAAACUGGCAGGCUAGAGUCUUGUAGAGGGGGGUAGAAUUCCAGGUGUAGCGGUGAAAUGCGUAGAUAUAUGGAGGAACACCAGUGGCGAAGGCGGCUCUCUGGUCUGUAACUGACGCUGAGGCUCGAAAGCGUGGGGAGCGAACAGGAUUAGAUACCCGGGUAGUC
rnacentral:rRNA from 1 species